UACGUAGGCAGCAAGCGUUGUUCGGAGUUACUGGGCGUAAAGGGUGCGUAGGCGGCGCGGUAAGUCGGGUGUGAAAUCUCGGAGCUUAACUCCGAAACUGCAUUCGAUACUGCCGUGCUUGAGGACUGGAGAGGAGACUGGAAUUCCUGGUGUAGCGGUGAAAUGCGCAGAUAUCAGGAGGAACACCGAUGGCGAAGGCAGGUCUCUGGGCCACUACUGACGCUGAGAAGCGAAAGCAUGGGGAGCGAACAGG
rnacentral:rRNA from 1 species